ACGGAGGGGUUCUCCGAGCACUUAAUUGCAAUACAAUGAAAUAAACUGCCAAUUUCUAAAAUAUAAAUGUAACUAAAUAAUCUGUAUUAUUAUGUUAGUAAAUAUCUAUGUAAUAUAAAAUGUACUAUAUGAUAUUGUAUUGAGUAAUAAUUAAUUAAAUUUCAUACGUAAAAUAUACACCACCGUCUGCAUUAACCCGUUCAAUCAACUGUUGAUUGUUGACUGACUGCCGUCCCUAAAUGCGAUGUUUAAUGCUUGUACAUAUGGAUAAUUUAAGUGAGAAUUUGACGUAAAGUUGCCGCUUUAUUUAAGGAUGGCGUAUCGGAAUUAAUGCUGAGCGGUAAAAACGCGCCGCUCGACGCUUUUCUUAAGGGACGGCAGUAACUUUAUCGUCGCUUUGUCCCAUCGUAAGUGCUUGUUUUACGCUCUUCGUUUGUGCGUAUUUGUGAGAAUCCGUGUGUAUCCUUGUAUAUAAGCCUAACUUGUGUAUUAUUACUAAGUCUAAUAUUUAAUAAACAAAUUUGUGCAUUGCUGUUUAACAAA